rnacentral:rRNA from 1 species
UACGUAGGGUGCGAGCGUUGUCCGGAAUUAUUGGGCGUAAAGAGCUCGUAGGCGGCUUGUCGCGUCGGAUGUGAAAGCCCGGGGCUCAACCCCGGGUCGGCCGUGCGGACUGGCGGGCUCGAGCACUGUAGAGGCAGGUGGAAUUCCGGGUGUAGCGGUGGAAUGCGUAGAGAUCCGGAAGAACACCGGUGGCGAAGGCGGCCUGCUGGGCAGUAGCUGACGCUGAGGCGCGACAGCGUGGGGAGCAAACAGG